rnacentral:lncRNA from 1 species
CUAACUGCUUUUCUAAGAGCAUGUGCGGUUCUUUCAAUUUCUGGAUCCAAUGGAAUUAGUGGUGAUCCUGAACUGCACACACACAAACAGAAAAUACCUCAGUAGUACUAUGAUAAACAAUAAAAUAAAACAAAACUUAAAAAUACUAUAAAAAAAUAAAAAAAAUUGCACAAACACCGCCUUGUUGAAAAAUCAAUAGUCCCCGGCAACUGCGCCAAAAACUUGAUGACUUCUCGGAUAGUGUAUCGAUAAUGUCGAAGUAAUAAAAA